AGAGUGAUACCCUAUCUCAAGAAAAGAAAUAGUUACUUAUUUCAUUCUGAUCACAUUUUCCAGUACAAAUACAUGGAGGUCCCAAGUGCCAAAGUUACAAAAAAAAAAAACAGUUUCUGUUCAGUUUUGGAAGACAUGUAGGGACUUUUUCUUUAAACACUUUGGACCAAGUUGGGGAGUUAGCCUGCAUUGAGGGAGGUGACCCAGUUGCUAAGAGACUGGGAGGCCAGCCAGGGAUGAAAACUUUGCCUGUAUAAUCUGUGGUCACCACUGGGUGCCUGGGAGUUACCCACGGUGGACAAAGGGCAAGAGCGCUGGUUUUGGAGUCAGAUAGAUGUGCUCUGCCCUCCCGCCUCCAGGGCUGGGCUCCCAGGUUGGCUGUGGAUCCAGAGAGUUGUGAGGGAGAGGUAAAAUGUGUGUGAAAGUUCUUGGUAAACACCCAGCCACUAUAUAUUAUGAGUGGUAG
rnacentral:lncRNA from 1 species